ACAGUUUCUCCAGUCCUCGAAGGCUCCGAAGUCUGUCACCAUGUCGUGCGAGUCGUCUAUGGUUCUCGGGUACUGGGAUAUUCGUGGACUCCUGACUAUGAUCGAAGCCAAUGGCUGGAUGUGAAAUUCAAACUAGACCUGGACUUUCCUAAUCUGCCCUACCUCCUGGAUGGGAAGAACAAGAUCACCCAGAGCAAUGCCAUCUUGCGCUACAUCGCUCGCAAGCACAACAUGUGUGGUGAGACUGAAGAAGAAAAGAUUCGAGUGGACAUCAUAGAGAACCAAGUAAUGGAUUUCCGCACACAACUGAUAAGGCUCUGUUACAGCUCCGACCACGAAAAACUGAAGCCUCAGUACUUGGAAGAGCUACCUGGACAACUGAAACAAUUCUCCAUGUUUCUGGGGAAAUUCUCAUGGUUUGCCGGGGAAAAGCUCACCUUUGUGGAUUUUCUCACCUAUGAUAUCUUGGAUCAGAACCGUAUAUUUGACCCCAAGUGCCUGGAUGAGUUCCCAAACCUGAAGGCUUUCAUGUGCCGUUUUGAGGCUUUGGAGAAAAUCGCUGCCUACAUACAGUCUGAUCAGUUCUUCAAGAUGCCCAUCAACAACAAGAUGGCCCAGUGGGGCAACAAGCCUGUAUGCUGAGCAGGAGGCAGACUUGCAGAGCUUGUUUUGUUUCAUCCUGUCCCUAAGGGGUCAGCACUCUUUCUUUGCUCUUUUCAAUAAAUAGCACUUACGUUACUGGUGUCCAGCUGAAUUUCUCUUGGGUAUAAAGGCUAAAAGGGA
rnacentral:sRNA from 1 species